CCUACGGGAGGCAGCAGUGGGGAAUAUUGCACAAUGGGGGAAACCCUGAUGCAGCGACGCCGCGUGAGUGAAGAAGUAAUUCGUUAUGUAAAGCUCUAUCAGCAGGGAAGAAAAUGACGGUACCUGAGUAAGAAGCCCCGGCUAACUACGUGCCAGCAGCCGCGGUACUACGUAGGGGGCAAGCGUUAUCCGGAUUUACUGGGUGUAAAGGGAGCGUAGACGGCAGUGCAAGUCUGGAGUGAAAGGCGGGGGCUCAACCCCCGGACUGCUCUGGAAACUGUACGGCUGGAGUGCAGAUGAGGUAAGUGGAAUUCCUGGUGUAGCGGUGAAAUGCGUAGAUAUUAGGAGGAACACCAGUGGCGAAGGCGGCUUACUGGACUGUAACUGACGUUGAGGCUCGAAAGCGUGGGGAGCAAACAGGAUUAGAUACCCCUGUAGUC
rnacentral:rRNA from 1 species